ensembl:misc_RNA
UUUGAUGAGAAGAAUAAGCCUCGUUUUGAUUCAAUAGCAGAGAUCAAAGAAAAAGCUUUUGUCUUCUGGGCACCAGAUAUAUGUUAUCUGUGUUUAAAGAAAUGAAAAGCACACAUCAAAGAAGCAUUGGCUUGGAAAGAGAGG